UGGGUAGUCCGCACGAGCGCACCCUAUCUUUAUUGCUAGCAGGUUAGCUGAGCACUCUGGAGAAACUGCCGGUGAUAAGCCGGAGGAAGGCGGGGAUGACGUCAAGUCCUCAUGGCCCUUAUGACCUGGGCUACACACGUGCUACAAUGGCGGUGACAAUGAGCAGCGAUAGCGCAAGCUUCAGCUAAUCUCAAAAAUCCGUCUCAGUUCAGAUUGAACUCUGCAACUCGAGUUCAUGAAGUUGGAAUCGCUAGUAAUCGCAGAUCAGCAUGCUGCGGUGAAUACGUUCCCGGGCCUUGUACACACCGCCCGUCACACCAUGGAAGUUGGUUUUACCCAAAGACGACAAGCUAACCGCAAGGAGGCAGUCGGCCACGGUAAGGUCAGCGACUGGGGUGAAGUCGUAACAAGGUAGCCGUACCGGAAGGUGUGGCUGGAUCACCUCCUUUCU
rnacentral:rRNA from 1 species